CCUACGGGAGGCAGCAGUGAGGAAUAUUGGUCAAUGGGCGGAAGCCUGAACCAGCCAAGUCGCGUGAGGGAAUAAGGCCCUACGGGUCGUAAACCUCUUUUGCCGGGGAGCAAGGGCGGGGACGUGUCCCGUCCCGGAGAGUACCCGGAGAAAAAGCAUCGGCUAACUCCGUGCCAGCCGCCGCGGUAAUACGGAGGAUGCGAGCGAUAUCCGGAUUUAUUGGGUUUAAAGGGUGCGUAGGCGGGCUUUUAAGUCAGCGGUAAAAAUUCGGGGCUCAACCCCGUCCGGCCGUUGAUACUGGGGGCCUUGAGUGGGCGAGAAGAAGGCGGAAUGCGUGGUGUAGCGGUGAAAUGCAUAGAUAUCACGCAGAACCCCGAUUGCGAAGGCAGCCUUCCGGCGCCCUACUGACGCUGAGGCACGAAAGUGCGGGGAUCAAACAGGAUUAGAUACCCUAGUAGUC
rnacentral:rRNA from 1 species